UACGUAGGGUGCAAGCGUUGUCCGGAAUUAUUGGGCGUAAAGAGCUCGUAGGCGGCCUGUCACGUCGACUGUGAAAACCCAGGGCUCAACCCUGGGCCUGCAGUCGAUACGGGCAGGCUAGAGUGUGGUAGGGGAGACUGGAAUUCCUGGUGUAGCGGUGAAAUGCGCAGAUAUCAGGAGGAACACCGGUGGCGAAGGCGGGUCUCUGGGCCGAUACUGACGCUGAGGAGCGAAAGCGUGGGGAGCGAACAGG
rnacentral:rRNA from 1 species